rnacentral:rRNA from 1 species
CACGUAGGGCGCAAGCGUUGUCCGGAAUUAUUGGGCGUAAAGAGCUCGUAGGCGGCUUGUCGCGUCGACUGUGAAAACCCGUGGCUCAACCAUGUGGUCUGCAGUCGAUACGGGCAGGCUAGAAUUCGGUAGGGGAGACUGGAAUUCCUGGUGCAGCGGUGAAAUGCGCAGAUAUCAGGAGGAACACCGGUGGCGAAGGCGGGUCUCUGGGCCGAUACUGACGCUGAGGAGCGAAAGCGUGGGGAGCGAACAGG